GAUGAACGCUGGCGGCGUGCUUAACACAUGCAAGUCGAACGAGAAGUGAAGACGGAAACCUUCGGGCGGAAGGCUUUAUUUCGAGUGGCGGACGGGUGAGUAACGCGUGGGUAACCUGCCUCAUACAGGGGGAUAACAGUUGGAAACGACUGUUAAUACCGCAUAAGACCACAGCACCGCAUGGUGCGGGGGUAAAAACUCCGGUGGUAUGAGAUGGACCCGCGUUCGAUUAGCCAGUUGGCGGGGUAACGGCCCACCAAAGCGACGAUCGAUAGCCGAUCUGAGAGGAGGACCGGCCACAUUGGGAAUGAGACACGGCCCAAACUCCUACGGGAGGCAGCAGUGGGGAAUAUUGCACAAUGGGGGAAACCCUGAUGCAGCGACGCCGCGUGAGUGAAGAAGUAUUUCGGUAUGUAAAGCUCUAUCAGCAGGGAAGAAAAUGACGGUACCUGAGUAAGAAGCCCCGGCUAACUACGUG
rnacentral:rRNA from 1 species